CAUUCUCAGCUGUUCACAGCCCUUGUCUUUGACUUUUAUGAUCUCAUUAGCUCACAAGGGAAAGUGUUGGACACUUUGCCUCACUUAAGUCUGAAACAAGACCCUGUGCUUCUAUUGUUAGUGUUUGUUAUUUGUUAUUGUAUAAGGUCACUUGUAAGUGACUCUUGGGAGGUGUUGGGUUCUUUUAGAAAGUUUAUCUCUCCCUUGCCUUGUCUUACUCACAUUGAUACACUGUCUAUGGACAGAGUAUGGCCAUUGCAUUGGUUUGUUUAACCACUAAUGUGACGACAGCAAAGUAUGCAGACUUGAAGAAUCUAAAGACAGCAUCAUCUGUGUGAUAAUGGAUCCACCACUGCUCUGAAAACAAGCAAAGCAGCAGAAAGCUCACCCUUUACUGCCUAUAUCAAGAACUACAUUGGAGAUAGAGGAAACUAAAUCACACAAAAACUUGAAGAUGCAUGGCAGCUAGGGGUUUCACUCCUCAUCCAGUCCUUUCU